AGGAACCUACGGGGGGCAGCAGUGGGGAAUAUUGCACAAUGGGGGAAACCCUGAUGCAGCAACGCCGCGUGAGUGAUGACGGCCUUCGGGUUGUAAAGCUCUGUCUUCAGGGACGAUAAUGACGGUACCUGAGGAGGAAGCCACGGCUAACUACGUGCCAGCAGCCGCGGUAAUACGUAGGUGGCGAGCGUUGUCCGGAUUUACUGGGCGUAAAGGGAGCGUAGGCGGACUUUUAAGUGUGAUGUGAAAUACUCGGGCUCAACUUGAGUGCUGCAUUUCAAACUGGAAGGUU
rnacentral:rRNA from 1 species